rnacentral:ncRNA from 2 species
GUUUCCGAGGAGCGUUGCGACGGGCAAUCUGAAAGCCGCCCGCCAGGCUCGGAGACAUUCAAUCCGGACGGUUCGAACGCGCUUUUAGUUAUGAAAGGCGCUCGCUGAGCCACCGCAUUCGAACGGCGCUCACGUCAA